AAAAAGGCUCUUUUGAGAGCUAUAAUAAUCGCCUUAGAAAAAUCU
rfam:Monodelphis domestica chromosome 7, whole genome shotgun sequence.